GCUCCGUUGGUGAACCAGCGGAGGGAUCAUUACCGAGUGCAAACUCAUAACCCUUUGUGAACCUAUAUCUGUUGCUUCGGCGGCUCGCUCUCGGGCGAGCCCGCCGGUAAUACCAGUAUCUCUGUUUGAACCCGACGAUACUUCUGAGUGUUCUUAGCGAACAGUUAAAACUUUUAACAACGGAUCUCUUGGCUCUA
rnacentral:misc_RNA from 1 species